rnacentral:rRNA from 1 species
ACGAGGGGGGCAAGCGUUGUUCGGAAUUAUUGGGCGUAAAGGGCGCGUAGGCGGUGCGGUAAGUCGGAUGUGAAAUCCCGGGGCUCAACCCCGGAACUGCAUUCGAUACUGCUGCGCUAGAGUACUGGAGAGGAGAUUGGAAUUUACGGUGUAGCAGUGAAAUGCGUAGAUAUCGUAAGGAAGACCAGUGGCGAAGGCGGAUCUCUGGACAGUUACUGACACUGUGGCACGAAGGCCAGGGGAGCAAACGGGA